rnacentral:lncRNA from 1 species
AUGAGAAAAGGACCCAGCACAGGAGGAGAAAGAGGAGGAAACGGCAGUUUCUCAGGUCCCCUUUUUGGAGUAAAAGAAGAAUCCCUGAGAUGUGAAGGGAAUGGAGACAGUAGCUGUAUAACCAGGAAAUCAAAUGAUCAGUGCCUGAAGGAGACUGACCAGAGGCUCAAGGACACAGCAGAUAUCAAGGUCAUCACAAAAAUAUCAGCCCUAUGUAACCCCUAAAGUCCAGAACCUGAAGAAGCAACAGACAGGACAAUCUACCUUAAAAAGGACAUUAGUCAUGUAUAUCCCCUGCAAGAGUAUAUCAAAGGGCUUCUUCCCACUGAUUUUAACACAAGAGAUACUACAAAGGCACUUUAAGUUUCCAAUAUAAUGGGGGGGGGAAAUCUAUUAUAUUGACAUUGUAGUGUAUUUUUCCCUGACCAUCAUUGAGGUUGGGUGCCUCUUCAUAUGUAAAAUAAACAUUUUUAUUUAUUUUACAGAGAAAUUUAAUUUCAUGUGUUUCAAACAUUUUUAUUUGGUCACAUCUAUUUUUUUUCUCUUGAUUGAGAGGCAAUUCAAAUAUAUUUUUUAUAUGUGGUGUCUUCUCCCACAGCAUUCUUCCAAGCCAAUUACUGUCCACACAUUUUAUAAAAAAAUUUGUCAAGGAACUUGUUUUCACAGAUCAUCCACCACUCAACACACCUGAUAUGAGGCUUCCUGGCAUAGUCUUACAUCAAGAGAUC